UAAGUUAAUACCUUGCUGUUUUGACGUUACCAACAGAAUAAGCACCGGCUAACUUCGUGCCAGCAGCCGCGGUAAUACGAAGGGUGCAAGCGUUAAUCGGAAUUACUGGGCGUAAAGCGCGCGUAGGUGGUUUGGUAAGAUGGAUGUGAAAUCCCCGGGCUCAACCUGGGAACUGCAUCCAUAACUGCCUGACUAGAGUACGGUAGAGGGUGGUGGAAUUUCCUGUGUAGCGGUGAAAUGC
rnacentral:rRNA from 1 species